GGUAACAGAUCCUGAGGAUUCCCUUUGGCGCAUUGUCCCAGUGAAACGCAUGCCACCGCCCAUGCUAUCCGCUGAUUGGCUGGCAGCUCACCCAAUGAGAGCGCAGGGCGGGAGAGGGAGGCCGUGGGGUGGAAAAUGCCGGGAAGAAAACAGGCGCCAUGUUAGGAUGGGAGAUGGUGAGAGGAGUCAGCAAGUCCAGACGCGUCUGUGGAAAAAUCGCAGAGUUAAUGUUUUUGCUGUCCGUCUGCAGUGGUUCAAGACGAGAUGGACAAUAAGUGGAAUCUGAUUGUAUCGUCCAGGCUGAGAACAAGUCAAUAAUUUCAUCAGAAACUACCUGACAUUCUCAGGCACUCGUUAACAGGAUGGUUUCAAAGUUUCCAAAUUGUAAAGCUUUUCUCAUAAGCAUUUACACUGGGAGUUCCCUCCUGGGAUUCUGCUACUCAAGGUUUUGUGUAAAGCAGGAAGUCAUUGCAAAAAUUGUCAGCAGCAAUCUAACUCUGCCACUGAAACACUGAUUACAAGGGGGAACCAGGUCUCACUUAAAGUUGUGAUUUUCAAGAGCUCAACCUCCAACACAUGGGAUUUUCGUGUACAAAAUAUGUAACAAUCAUAAUAAACGUGAACUGUUAGAUGUUGCGAAA